AGCCUUCUGUAUCCGUGCUGAGAUUUCGUCACACACCAGGCUGAUGAGACUUCCAAGAUAAGAGAAGCG
rnacentral:pre_miRNA from 1 species